GAAAAAUUAGUUAAAUUCAUAAUACAAGCUUGUCAAGCUUGAGUUGUCUUAGGGACAUUUUUCU
rnacentral:tRNA from 1 species